UAAUAUGUUUCUUUUUUUUGUAAUGAACUAGUUAAGUAAACAAGUUCUGCAUUAUAGAUAGAAACACAUCAGAUAACCAACCCUCCCGACCAUAUCACAAUACAAUAGGCCUAGAUUAAAAUGGAAUACAAUCAGGCAGUAUAAGGGGCAGCUGUGACUGGAACUCUUGUAACAUUCUACAUGGACCAAUUAUCAGAGCAUUCCACCCCUUCUUUAUAGGUCCAUGGCUGUUUCCCAAUGUGAAGGCUGCAGCCUUGCUAGGACGCGUCCUUGCUAGUCGCGUCCUAUGGAGAUGAGACUAGUGCUAGCUCGAGUGCUUCCUAGCGUCUGUAACGUUCAGACUUUGGAAUGACUGGCUAGUGUGGAAGCGCUUCCGCUGUGUAAACACAUGUGCACUUCUGAAUAAAACAUGGAAGCAAUGAAGCUGAUCAAUAUUUAUUUGCUGUGGUGUGAGCUGGAGGAGGACUUCGAACGACUUUAUUGGCGGAGGGUUGAACGAAGGAGACGAUUGCUCUAUUCUCGGAGUCUGCCAUCAGAAUGUCGAGGCCAUGCAUUACUGCCAAAACAAAGCCACCGUGCCAGUGCUGCAGCGCUUCUUCCAGGGAGAGGACACCCGCCCUGAUUUCAGGCUUAGCCGGGAGGCUAUCUAGGUCCUCCAAACGGAGCGACAGCACGGUUGGGGGCCCACCAUGGAGAACCUGGUCUUUUUGUUUUGGAUAGCCCCUGGCGCAGCCUAUCGGAUUCUGUCCAGAGCUUUUGGCAUACCAAUGUCAUCUGUCCAUCGAAUGGUGCACAGAAUUGCGGAGGAGGUUGUAGCUGUCCGGGGCAGUUUCAUCAAGCUGCCAUCAAAUUAUGAGGAGGUCAAGGCCAUGGGGGAAGGGUACCCUGCUUUCGCUAAAGCAGCUGGGGCCAGGGGCGUUUCUAGGUUUCUGAAACAUCCGGGGCUUAGCCCAAGAGGGAAUAGGACAGUGCGCGUGCGGCAAAUUUUGUUGUAUACUUUAUUGCGCAUGCAUUUUUUUUCAUAAUGCUUUACCUAAAUAAACAAAAUAGGCAGGUAAUUAUAGCUUUGAAUAGCUACCUGACUGCUGCUUAUCCCCAGACAUCUAAAGUUCCAUCAAGUUAUUUCAGAGUCAAAUUAAUACAAGUGAGACAGACCUUACAUUACCUAUAUCAGGUGUGUCAAACUCAUUUUCACAAAGGGCCACUCUAUGAUGAAAUGAUAAUCAUACUAAGGGCCGACAUGGAGUUUGCUGACAUGCUUUCUUUUUAUUUAGCCCCGAAUAAAACAGCCUAGUGACGCCACUAGCUGGGGCCAUCGACGGGUCCCACAUCCAAAUUAAAUGUCCUUGCGGCCCUGAUGGUCAAGACUUCGUGAACAGGAAGCUGUAUCCAUCCAUGGUGCUGCAGGCAGUCUGUAACCAUCAGGGUCGCUUCAUUGACACCUUCGUGGGCUUCCCAGGAAGCGUGCAUGAAGCACGCAUCCUGCGAAAUAGUUCAAUUUACCUGGCUGGCAAUUACCCUCCACCAGGCCAUUUCAUCUUGGGUGAUGGUGGUUAUCCAUGCCUUACACAGCCGAUAGCCCUUAUCACACCAUAUAAGCGGCCACUCAGAGGCAUGGCAGAGCAACGGUUUAACACUCAUCACUCUCGGGACCGCUCAAUUGUUGAGCGUGCCUUUGGGAUGAUGAAAACCCGCUUCAGGUGCAUCUUUUUAGAGGCACUUAAAGUACAUAGUGAGUUUGUUCCAAAGGUGGUGACUGCGUAUGCAGUUGGUGUGGGCGAUGACCUCCCAGUGGAGGAUGGGGCCAUGGAGGGAGAUGACCCUCCUGCUGAAGGAGAAUGUGGCACGGAGUCACAGAGUGGAGCUCCUUGGCGUGCGGCCCUGGCCAAUUAUGCAGGGGAAAAAAGACAAAGAAAGUGUUGAUAAACAUGUAUUUAUUUGUAUAGAUAAUAUCUGAUCUCAUACAUACAUCCAUUACAUCCAUACCAUCCUUCAUUCAUUCACCCCUCUCAACCAAACGCUCAAGGAGAGAAGAAACGGUCAAACCGCUCCCUUGACUCCACCUCUCUCCUCUCAUCCGCCUGCCGCUGAUAUAGAAUAUCCUCCGUCACCAGAAGCAGGAAGGGAUCCUCCCUCCCUCAUCUCCCUGCUCCGGCCCCUGCUGCGCCCACUGCAACUGCCCCCGAUGUGAUGACUCGUAGCAAAAUGCGUUGUCCCAAUUUUUGAUACAUUAUUAUUUCAACUAUAGGUUAUAUUUACAGAAGAAAAUUGUAAUAAAAUGGCGGGCGAAGAGGAAGAACUGUGCGAGCAAAUACGAUUAUAUAAGCAUUUAUAUGAUACUUCUUCACUAUUACAUUCCAACAAGAUUG